CGUUAUUCACUGUUAAAUCACUUCUCAGUUUCUCUGGAUAUAAAGGGCUUGUCAUAUGCAACAAGAGGUGAUGUUCCAGGUCAAAUAGUAAGAGGGAGCUGGAGAUGUGGAAGAAAAGAAGCAAGGGGGACUUUAAGAAGAUAGGGAUCAGGGGUUGCCGCGAGGCCUCUGGGGUGGGUUCGCCAGGAGGGCAGGUUCGUGCGGCACCUCGGAGGGAGGCUGAGCGGGCCGCGCCGGGCGGCGGGUACACGGCGGUAUGGUCCUGCGCUCGGGAACGCGGAAUGUUCCCUGGUCGCCGCCGCGGUGGGGCGCGGGCCCGGAGGAGGCGCCCGAGGGACCAGGCCUUGCGGCGGGCAAGGACCAGGAGGCGAGCCCUGGAGCUCCGGAGCGGACGCCCCCAGGGAGCUGGGGACACCCCCAUGGGACAGCCCUUCCUGGACCCGGAGAGAGCAGCUGCUGCUGCCCCACCACCCGCCAGGCCCGGCCACUGAGCAGCCCCCCGGAACCCCAGAUCCUCGUUCCCCCCAGGUGGCCUGGGAGGUGGCCCCCUCGAGGAUGAC
rnacentral:lncRNA from 1 species